CGGGUUGUAGCUUAGUAGUAGAGUGCUUGCCUAGCAUGUGUGAGGCCCUGGGUUUGAUCCCCAGCAGCACAU
rnacentral:tRNA from 1 species